CCUACGGGUGGCAGCAGUGGGGAAUAUUGGACAAUGGGCGAAAGCCUGAUCCAGCCAUGCCGCGUGUGUGAAGAAGGCCUUCGGGUUGUAAAGCACUUUCAGUGGGGAAGAAAGCCUUGUGGCUAAUACCCUCGAGGAAGGACAUCACCCACAGAAGAAGCACCGGCUAACUCCGUGCCAGCAGCCGCGGUAAUACGGAGGGUGCGAGCGUUAAUCGGAAUUACUGGGCGUAAAGCGCGCGUAGGCGGUCUGAUAAGCCGGUUGUGAAAGCCCCGGGCUCAACCUGGGAACGGCAUCCGGAACUGUCAGGCUAGAGUGCAGGAGAGGAAGGUAGAAUUCCCGGUGUAGCGGUGAAAUGCGUAGAGAUCGGGAGGAAUACCAGUGGCGAAGGCGGCCUUCUGGACUGACACUGACGCUGAGGUGCGAAAGCGUGGGUAGCAAACAGGAUUAGAUACCCGGGUAGUC
rnacentral:rRNA from 1 species